rnacentral:rRNA from 1 species
UGAAUACGAGACGCUACGGCGUCGAAGCAGUCUAUGUCAUACUUCCAAGAAAAGCUUGCACUGUCAUAAACAAAUAAUGCCUGUACCAUAACCGACACAGGUGGGUAGGUAGAGUAUACUAAGGGGCGCGAGAUAACUCUCUCUAAGGAACUCGGCAAAAUGACUCCGUAACUUCGGGAGAAGGAGUGCCUUAUUUAUAAGGUUGCAAUAACAAGAUCCAAGCAACUGUUUAUCAAAAACACAGGUCUCCGCUAAGUCGUAAGACGAUGUAUGGGGGCUGACGCCUGCCCAGUGCCAGAAGGUUAAAGAAGUUGGUUAGCAUUAGCGAAGCUGAUAACUGAAGCCCUGGUGAACGGCGGCCGUAACAAUAACGGUCCUAAGGUAGCGAAAUUCCUUGUCGGGUAAGUUCCGACCCGCACGAAAGGCGUAAUGAUUUGGAUACUGUCUCAGAGAGGGGCUCGGUGAAAUAGACUUGUCUGUGAAGAUGUGGACUACCUGCACCAGGACAGAAAGACCCUAUGAAGCUUUACUGUAACUUGAAAUUGAAAUUGGACUUUAUUUGUGCAGUAUAGGUGGGAGGCAUUGAUAAUAUUCUUGCGGGAAUGUUGGAGCCAUCAGUGAGAUACCACUCUUGUAAUGUUAGAUUUCUAACUUUGGAUCAUUAUCUGGUCAAAGGACAGUUUCAGGCGGGCAGUUUGACUGGGGCGGUCGCCUCCUAAAUGGUAACGGAGGCGCACAAAGGUUUCCUCUGAACGGGUAGAAAUCGUAUCUAGAGUGUAAAGGCAUAAGGAAGCUUGACUGUGAGACCUACAAGUCGAGCAGGGACGAAAGUCGGUCUUAGUGAUCUGACGGUGCUGAGUGGAAAGGCCGUCACUCAACGGAUAAAAGUUACUCUAGGAUAACAGGCUGAUCUCCCCCAAGAGUUCACAUCGACGGGGAGGUUUGGCACCUCGAUGUCGGCUCAUCGCAUCCUGGGGCGGUAGUACGUCCCAAGGGUUGGGCUGUUCGCCCAUGAAAGCGGUACGCGAGCUGGGUUCAGAACGUCGUGAGACAGUUCGGUCCAUAUCCGGUGUAGGCGUUAGAAUAUUGAGAGGAGCCUUCUUUAGUACGAGAGGACCGAGAAGGACAUACCUCUGGUGUACCAGUUAUCGUGCCAACGGUAAACGCUGGGUAGCUAUGUAUGGAGAGGAUAACCGCUGAAAGCAUCUAAGUGGGAAGCCCACCUCAAGAUAAGUAUUCUC